rnacentral:rRNA from 1 species
GUGGAUUAGAUACCCUGGUAGUCCACGCUGUAAACGAUGAAUACUAGGUGUGGGAGGACUGACCCCUUCCGUGCCGCAGUUAACACAAUAAGUAUUCCACCUGGGGAGUACGGCCGCAAGGCUGAAACUCAAAGGAAUUGACGGGGGCCCGCACAAGCAGUGGAUUAUGUGGUUUAAUUCGACGCAACGCGAAGAACCUUACCAGGACUUGACAUCCAACUAACGAAGUAGAGAUACAUUAGGUGCCCUUCGGGGAAAGUUGAGACAGGUGGUGCUUGGUCGUCGACAGCU